GAUUCCCCUAGUAACUGCGAGUGAAGCGGGAUGAGCUCAAAUUUGAAAUCUGGCGUCUUCGGCGUCCGAGUUGUAAUCUGGAGAAGCGUUUUCCGUGCCGGACCGUGUACAAGUCCAUUGGAACAUGGCGUCAUAGAGGGUGAGAAUCCCGUCUUUGACACGGACUCCCGGUGCUCUGCGAUGCGCUCUCGAAGAGUCGAGUUGUUUGGGAAUGCAGCUCAAAAUGGGUGGUAAAUUCCAUCUAAAGCUAAAUAUUGGCGAGAGACCGAUAGCGAACAAGUACCGUGAGGGAAAGAUGAAAAGCACUUUGGAAAGAGAGUAAAACAGUACGUGAAAUUGUUGAAAGGGAAACGCUUGGAGUCAGUCGCGUCUUCUGGAACUCAGCCUUGCUUCUGCGAGGUGCACUUUCCAGUUUGACGGGUCAGCAUCGGCUUCGAGAGGCGGACAAAGGCGCGGGGAAGGUGGCAGCUCCGGCUGUGUUAUAGCCCCGCGUUGUACGCGUCUCCCGGGACCGAGGAAUCCGGCGCCAGUCGCCUGGGAUGCUGGCGUAAUGGCUUUAAACGACCCGUCUUGAAACACGGACCAAGGAGUGCUACAUGCUCGCGAGUGUUUGGGUGGAAAACCCGAGCGCGCAAUGAAAGUGAAAGUCGAGACCCUUUGCGGGGGCACCGACGCCCGAGCCUGAAGUUUACGGACGGCCUUGCGGUAGAGCGAGUAUGUUGCGACCCGAAAGAUGGUGAACUAUU
rnacentral:rRNA from 1 species